GGCUCAGUGGUCUAGUGGUAUGAUUCUCGCUUUGGGUGCGAUAGGCCACGGGUUCGAUUCCUGUCUGAGGCC
rfam:Nematostella vectensis strain CH2 x CH6 NEMVEscaffold_39_Cont6467, whole genome shotgun sequence.